rnacentral:sRNA from 1 species
AUUACGAAGUAUGGCUCCGCGACGAUCGCG